rnacentral:rRNA from 1 species
GAGUUGAUCGUGGCUCAGAGCGAACGCUGGCGGCAGGCCUAACACAUGCAAGUCGAACGGACCCUUCGGGGUUAGUGGCGGACGGGUGAGUAACACGUGGGAACGUGCCUUUAGGUUCGGAAUAGCUCCUGGAAACGGGUGGUAAUGCCGAAUGUGCCCUUCGGGGGAAAGAUUUAUCGCCUUUAGAGCGGCCCGCGUCUGAUUAGCUAGUUGGUGAGGUAACGGCUCACCAAGGCGACGAUCAGUAGCUGGUCUGAGAGGAUGACCAGCCACACUGGGACUGAGACACGGCCCAGACUCCUACGGGAGGCAGCAGGUGGGGAAUCUUGCGCAAGUGGGCGAAAGCUGACGCAGCCAUGCCGCGUGAAUGAUGAAGUCUUAGGA